GGAGCUGCUGAGCUGUAGAAGCCCCAGGCGCUGCCCCUGUCACUGUGUGAAGAACAGACUGCGCUCUGCUGCUGGAAUCAUGACAGCUCCUCUGGCCCUGGGUCUCCUGCUCUCUCUGGCUGCCUUGUCUUGUGUCCAGUCCGAUGUUGUGCUGACCCAGUCUGAGUCAGCGGUGGUCACACCCGGAGGGUCUCACAGAUUGAAAUGCACAGUUACUGGGUUUAAUCUUGCCAGCUAUAGCAUGUUCUGGAUUCGCCGGGCUCCUGGGAAAGGGCUGGAGUGGAUAGUUUACUUUUACUCCAGUUCUGACAACAGCUACGCCCCGGCUGUACAAGGAAGAUUCACGGCCUCGAAGGACAGCAGCAGUUUGUAUCUGGACAUGAGCAGUCUGAGAGCUGAAGACACUGCAGUCUAUUACUGUGCGAGAAACACACUGUGCAGCAGGUGGCCUUUCUGCAGGUCCGAAAAAAUCAGGAUGGUCUGAGAUGUGAAGUCACCGGGUAUGAUGUGAGCACCUGUCAGCUGAGUUGUUCCUGUCCGGGACAAAGACUGGAAUUUCUGGCUCAACACAGGAUCAUCCGCCUUCCGACAGAGGGCUCACUUUUCUGCUUGUCUUCUUAUUCUCUAAUUCCCUUAUUCUUUCUCACUUCUAUCAUGUCAGCUAUUUCUCAAAUGGUCUCUGUAAUCGACUUACAGUAUAUGCUCUAGCCAGAGCGCACAGUUGAUUCCCUUGAUGAAAGAUACAGCUGUUCCAAGCAACAACCUUGGUACUACCAGGUUUGGCCCAUUCAGCCAUCUUGGUAGGGGGCAAGGAUAUCUCUAAUACACUGGACUUGCCGGUUACUGAUUUAGCGUGCAUCGAUAACUUCUCAUCUGGUGACAUCACAAAGGAAGACUGACUACUUUGAAUGAAAGAUUUAACUUACUAAUGAGAACUGUGCAGGCCGAGACACUGCUGAGAAUUGCUGUGCUAAACAAUAGUGAGGAAACAAACAAACUCACAAAAAUGACUUAAUCCUGUCUACACACAAAUUGUUCAAAUGUUACAUUGCUCCUUCGUAAGAGCUGCGGAAACACAUAUACAGACUAUUAGCUUCCAGUGUGCAAGCAGCUGAUCUUAGAUUCAACUCAAAAGCACUGAAAAGUUCUUGAGGCAUUCCUUCCCAGAUCAAAUUGUCGUGUGGGAUUUAUAAUAAUACAUUUGUCUCUCACAUUAUUAAAAGCACUUUGACCUAGAAAAUACCUGAACCAAACUGACAGGUUGAGCCCAGAGAAUCAAUA